AUUUUUCAUAUUUUGAAGCCCAUAUUGGUCCCUGGUCCUUAUCAAGUUUUUUUUUUUUUAAUUUUUUUUAUUUACUUUUUUACUGGAGAAAGGAGAAUCAGCUGGAUCUAACACCCUCUAUGGCAACCACUAAAUCAUCAAAUUUGGCUCCUGUCACUUCCCUUACAAUCUUGCUGUCCUUGAGAAUCUUGAAAGUAGGCACCACCCUUAUGCCAAGCUCCUUUGCCAAUGGCUUGUUAUCUUUGUUGCAAUCAAGCUUUAAGAAGACAACAUCAAGGUACUUCUGUGACAAAUCUUUAAAUUUGGGAGCCAUCACCUUACAAGGUCCACACCAUUGAGUGUACAUGUCAAGGACGACAAUCUUAUCGCCGGCGGACUUGACGAUGGGCCAGAAGGUAUCCUUGGUGACCUCAGUAACCUGUCCCACAGUAGCUGUAGGACCCACAGUAUCCAAGCUCGACCUCACCGUGAAAGCGCAACCGUUCCUCUUCACAUCAUCCUUCAGAGACAGUGAAAAUCUGCUUCUCGAGCUAGAGUUUAACAGCUUAGAAGAAGAAGAAGAAGAAGAAGAAGAAAGAGAGAAUGAGUCUUUGGUGACGGAGGAGGACACGAUCGGGUGCAAUGGGGAGCUGGGGAAGGAGGAGGGCGAGGAGCGAACGGAAGUGAUAGGAGAGAUUGAGAAUUGGAUCAAAGACAUCGUGCGAUAGAGAGAAUUAAUUUGAGAGAGAAAAUGGUGGUGGAGAUUUCAAGGAGUUGCAGAGAGGACAGGGAGCGAACGGAAGUGAUAGGAGAGAUUG
rnacentral:misc_RNA from 1 species